rnacentral:rRNA from 1 species
UACGGAGGAUGCAAGCGUUAUCCGGAUUUAUUGGGCGUAAAGCGUCCGUAGGUGGUUCAUCAAGUCUGCUGUCAAAGCGCGAGGCUUAACUUCGUACAGGCAGUGGAAACUGGUGGACUUGAGAGUGAUAGGGGCAGAGGGAAUUCCCAGUGUAGCGGUGAAAUGCGUAGAGAUGUGGAGGAACACCAGUGGCGAAGGCGACUCUUUGGCCUGUAACUGACGCUGAGGCGCGAAAGCGUGGGGAGCAAACAGG